GUCGUGAGAUGUUGGGUUAAGUCCGUAACGAGCGCAACCCUUGUCCUUAGUUACCAGCACGGUUAUGGUGGGCACUCUAAGGAGACUGCCGGUGACAAAACCCGGAGGAAAGGUGGGGGAUGACGUCAAGUCAUCAUGGCCCUUACGGCCUGGGCUACACACGUGCUACAAUGGUCGGUACAAAGGGUUGCCAAGCCGCGAGGUGGAGCUAAUCCCAUAAAACCGAUCGUAGUCCGGAUCGCAGUCUGCAACUCGACUGCGUGAAGUCGGAAUCGCUAGUAAUCGUGAAUCAGAAUGUCACGGUGAAUACGUUCCCGGGCCUU
rnacentral:rRNA from 1 species